GGGCCUGUACUGGUUUCGACAGCAUAGGUUACGGUAAGUAUAAGCAUGCAGUGCGUUGGGUAAUUAGCACUUAAAUCUGAAUACUCAAACUAUAAAUGGCAAUACACAGUAUGCCAUGGCUGCCUAAUUAGUAAUUAGUCAGUCAUUCGGGCCGCCGCACAGGUUUUCCUGUUACCAGGUGCCGCCGCCGACUCAAAAAAAACACAGGAUGCUGUAGUGGAAGGCUGUGACUACUGCAAAAGACAAAUAC
rnacentral:tmRNA from 1 species